UCUGCCUAAGGUCUGGCGAGCAGGGUGCCUCAUGCCCCACUCCGUGGAGUUGGAGAUUCAUGAAGAAAACAUCCUUACAGCCAGAUGAGUGAUCAAUAAAUAAUGCUGCUUGAAAUAUUGAUGGUGAGUUUUACACAAGCAUCCCUCAGCUGUGCCUGUCAUUGGGGAACUCGAGAGCUGACAGAGAACUUCAUGGCCCCCCAGAGAGCUCUCUCCUCUCUCUGCCAACAGAGGGUCUAUCUUUGCCAAGAUUUCAACCUGUUCCCCUCUCAGCCAGAAUCGUGACUCACUCCCAUCAAGUAAGAAGAGGGAAGGUCCCCCAGAGACUCAGCCAGCAAUCUCCAACCUGGCAAGAAUCAGGUUGACUGUUUAGAGCAUGAGCAGCAAGGACUCACAGGCUCCCAGGCUUCUCUGGCCCACACCACUGUCAUCUGGUUUUGUUGUCCCUGGAAGAAGGGGAGAAGAGGAGCAGGUGGAAACUCUGGAGCCUUCUUGAGCCCAACUCACCCGGUGCCAGCGCCCUCUGUGGCAGAAGCCAGGCACACUCAGAUCUCUGAGUGCACAGUGCCUUCUGCCCAGGCACUCUAGUUCUGCUCCACUUGGUCAGCUCCUGCCUGCACGUCAAGUCUCAGCUUGGAUGUGA